rnacentral:snRNA from 1 species
GCCUACAGGCAUUUGGUCAACUUGAAACGAUCCAGUGAAGAUUAUCAUGGCCCCAGGACUAGGAAGACGCGUUGAGUCAAAGAGAAGCUGCUGAUUUUG